GAAAACGUCAGCAUGCUCUUCUCGCUAUAUAUAUAGCCUGGGUGAUAAAAGGCCGUUUGCUUUGUAUGUUGUCAUUUUCUCGUCUGACUGGUGUUUGUUGCUCACCGUAAGUAUGUUUAUCUGUUUUACGUUAUCUUGAUUAAAGCUUAAUUGCCCAUACUUAUUUACAUAUGUUUAGGCAAUCCUUAUUUGAUACGAUAUCUAAUAAACUUUAUACAUAUUUAAAUCAGUUCAGAUAGUUAUCUUUUUUUAAAAAAAAUAAAGAGGGGUUUAUUUUUAUUCGUUCUGUGAGAACGUGCACCGUUUCUGACAAUUUGUGCUUUGGUUCGAAUAUGCUUUCUCGUAACAGUUCCCACCCUUUGUACGAGAUUUCAUUGUUAAUAGCGUCAGUUUCAUACAUUCACACGCACACACAUAAACUAACGUGUAUCAACUAUAUCUAAACAUCUGCAUUAACUGGCGUUAGUUUGUCUCGCGGUACCAUGGAUCUUCUCUUGGAAAGUCUUAUUUCGAGAACUCCGUCUCUCCCCAAUAUACCUAUCUAUCCAUCUAUCUAACUAUCCAUCUAUCUAGCUAACUAUCUAUCUAUCUAGAUAACUAUCCAUCUAUCUAUCUAACUAUACAUCUAUCUAUCUAACUACCCAUCUAUCUAUCUAACUAUCCAUCUAACUAUCCAUCUAUCUAUUUAUCUAUCCAUCCAUUCAUCUACCUACCUAUCUAUCUAUCGAUCUAUCUAUCUGUCUGUCUGUCUAUCAAAGCUUUAAGUGACAUGUGGUUUCUUGUUUAGCUCUGAUUAAGCAAAUGUAUCCACAACCAAAGACAGUCCAAUUGUGUCCAUCCCUACUUUUUGUUGUCCCUAGGACUACUUUAUUCAGUGUUUCCUACGCUGUAUGAUUUGCAUGUUGUAGUAGGUUUAACGACCACAUAGAGCCCUCCCUCUUCCUACUGGGUAGGCAAGCCUGUGUCAGUAAUAAUAAUAAAAGCUGUCUCACUAAAAUACUUAAGGUUUUGACUGCUGAAUAUUGAAUUAGAAAUUUACGUAUUGCCGAUAUGAAUUACUAUUUCAACAGUUGUUAAUUUAGUGAAUAUUUUAACCGAUCGAGUGCGUUAAAUGUCUCUUGGUGCAUUUAGGAUUAUAGCCGAAAGUUCAAAUACAUUGUGAAUAGAUCAUAUAAGACAUAAUGAAAAUUAAUGGAAUUCUACAGUAAUAAGCUGUGAUGAAGCACUACCACUAACAAAGUUUAUAGAUCUGCGAAAACGAUCGCAACGUAGACAUUCUAUUUUCCCCGAACAACUGAACGUACAUUGUUGUUACGGUUGGUUUAUUUUCUCAGUCUCUCACUCACGCUUCAAAAGUUGUUUGGCCCUAGGUCAGCCCUCAGUGAUCAGCUCUAUCUAUGACCAAGGGCGUUUCAGCCGUGAUCACAUCGCAACUACAUUAUGCACAGUGUAAUUUCUUUUUGUUUAUCCUUGGCUACAUUAUCUCAUCGUUUUAGUUUUUUUUUUUUUUUUUUAAGGCGGUAGUGUGUGAUUUGAGUUGGAAUAUGACUGCUAGUUGUAGACAACUGAGCGACAUCGUAAACGAUUCGUCGUUGUAUUCGUGCGUAUUUAUAAAUGAACGCGCGCAAAAUAAAUGAAAUCAUUUGUGGUGGGACUGCGGUGGGGAUUAGAUUAGACGAGAUUUAACGUUCUACGACACCACAGAAUAUAUGAAAAUAUUGGUAAAUUGUUACAAGUUGUUUUUUUGUGUGGUUUCAUCAUACCUUGUUGAUCUACAUGACUGUUUACUUCCAAGGCAACCAGACCAACUGAUGAUGGUGCUGUGUAAAUCGUUCCCUACUAGUUGUUUUUUUCUCUUUUUUUUCUUUAAUUCUAAAUUUGUCGUUUCCCACGAGGGAACUAAUUUUUAUCAAAUCUUGUUUUGCUUAUUUUCUCCUAAUAUUUAUUCUAAACAGCUGUUGAUUUUUCUGUAAGUUACAAAUAUGUCCCGCUAAUAACCUAAAACUAUUCAAAUGUUUCUCUGGAAAAGCGUGAGUUGAGAUGAGUAACUAUUGGUGGUAUUUCGUGUCCAUCCAGCACAGGCUAAAAGUAGUACCCCAAGUAUUUUUUGCUUCAUGCUAUCGAAUAACACUCCGCAUUUUUAAGCAUGUAAAAGAAUUUAGCUAUCAAGUUCGAGAAUUAUUUUUUUUUUCUUUUACAUAUUUAUGUGGUUCGCUCAAUGUUAAAGUUAAGUAUCCCUUAACUGACUGAAUCCCUCAAUGUUUGGACAACUUAUCUUAAUGUUUACUUUUGUCUACUUAGCUUCAUGUUCUAAGUCUGUCCAAGCAGAACUGGGCUUCUAACAGCAAUUAUUAACAAUAUUUAUGCUGGAUAAACAAAUUACAAAUACACAUCAGUUUCCAUGUAAUAAUAGAAAUGAUUCUUAUUGUUAUAUUUUUUUGCAUUUUUUCAUCAUUGUCUUGAAACUUUUCCCUACACUUUGUACAGUUUAGUAGAAAAUAGUUUACUGUUUCUAUUAGCAGACACGCGCCAGCUUCUGGUUCACAGACGCGCUGUGUUCUCUCAUUAUCUUAAUGCAGUGGUUCUCAAAUUUUUCACUGCCAAGGAUCUUUUUUUUUUUAUUUAAAUGAGUUUUCCCACGGACCCCUUUUAAUAUGCUUAUCGUUAUGAAAUUUUGAAUUUAGUUCACUUACCCCAAGCACUACUUUUGCGGACCGCAGGUUGGGAACCACUGUUUUUAAAUGAUUUCUGUUUCCUGGAACUGGCUAACAUGCUGACCCAACUCAAGCAUUCCCGACUCACUGAUCUCUCCUCUCAUCGCGCUUGUGUUCCCGCCACCAGAUCACUACGACUAGUCCUUCCUAAUCAAAGCAUUGAACCACUGAUGUUCUCUAUAUUCUCUCUGCAGCUGAGAAACAUUGAUGACAACAAUUUCACUGGUUUAGGAGAACCUGUGAAGGUCUCUUCCCCAGACCCAGCAAGUGUGUACACACACACACACAUACACAAUUAAAUAUGGCAAUUUAAUUUCAGGAAAGCAAUGCACAGUUUUAACAAAAUAUUUCGAAAUUGUCACUUAAUAU
rnacentral:lncRNA from 1 species